rnacentral:rRNA from 1 species
AUGUCAGUGAGAGGCUUAGUAGCAAAUUAUACCAUCUCUUAUAGCCCAAAGGCUCACGCCCGUUCAGAUGCUUGGGUGAUACGAAAGUAUGGUUAUGUGAAAUUAAAUGUUGACGCGAGAUUUGACAGUGACACACUCGCAGCAACAUUUGGAGCAGUUAUCCGGGACCAUAGGGGGAAAUUUAUAGCGACUGCUAAUGAAAAGAUGGACCUUUGCAUCGACUCGUUCACAACAGAAGCAAUUGCAGUGAGGUUUGGUUUGAAUCUUGCUAAUACCGUCGGAUGUAGUAAGAUUGAAGUGAAUUCGGAUAGUGUGGAGGUGGUGCAUGAGUUGAGCCAAGGCUACUCUUCUUUAGUCGCUUCAUCCAUUAUAGAUGACUGUUAUUUCAUGUCAUUAGGUUUUUCCCAUGUCACUUAUGAUCAUUGUAAUAGGGAACGUAAUCGAGUAGCUCAUGAACUAGCAAGGUUAGCUAGGUUUUCUUUUCCGAGUGUUUGGAUGGAUAACAUCCCUGAUAAGGUUAUUCCUUUAAUUUAUUUGUAA